ensembl:lncRNA
CAAAAGUGAGAUUGAUCCACUCUUUGGAUGUUACAAAAUGCUGUUUUAGUAUCACUUCACAGCAGCUGUGCUCUCAUAUCGCUUCCAUCCCAGGAAAACAUAGACUCUGUAAAAUGUGGAAAUCACCUGGGUGACGCCUCCUGAAGGUUUCAGAAGAGCACUUGCGAAGCUCAAAGCUGUUCGUUAUAAAGUAAAUCACUCCAUGGAUAUUAAAACCUUUAUUUUUUGUACCAGACUGUAAAGAUACCUCUUUUUGCUGUGAAUUUGGGCAUUUUAACAUGGGCACUGUCAUACUUUCGGAUACAGCCUCAAGUGGCCAUUUGGGAAACUGCAGUUUUCAACACUUCAAAUAGCGCCUUUGUGGCCGGACCGCUCCUGAAGAAGCUAGCGCAGAUGCUGCAACAGCAUCCAUUGUAUCAGAGUAUCUCUUCGCGGAAAGAAGAACAAAGAACGGCACCGUCUGAGAUUGAGAUUGAUUGCUCAUCCAAUCGCCUGCCAGAUAUCUUUUGUUUUCCAGACGGCCUCUCGGAUUGCUUGGAUCUGGCGGGUCCGGUUAGUUUCGGUGUAAAUGGAAGGGCUUAACUGGACUACAGUUACAGAUUUAGUGGGCUUAGCGUGGAUGUGAGGGAGCAGGCGUGUGCGGGUCUUUGUGAAGUGCCAGCUGGCGGGCCUCUCAACAGCGCGUCACCGACCCCACCUGUGCUCCACACAUUCCUCCACCCGGAACCUCCUUGUCCCGCUCAACCCGGCACCUCCGGCGAUAAAGUGAGAUGUGAGGCUGCCGACCUGUUCAUGUCACUGUAUUUUUGUUAUUCUGACAGGUAGCACAUGCUGUACUCGCUGUCACCGUAAAUCAGAUCACCUGGACGACAUGUACUCAUUCGUGAAUGAAAGCCGAUGAAAUAGUGUCUGACUAAUUCCAUGGCAAAGAAACCUGAACACAAUAAGCGAAUAGAAAAAUAUCCAUAUAUGUCAAUACAGAAAAUAACUUCUUCAAAGGACAAAUUGUUCUUGCUUUAUAGCGGUGCACUGCAAAAAAGAACGUGAAGUACGACCUUGCCCUUUCUUUACUGCAGGCCAGUUGUCUGUUUUGACACUCUUUCACAACACUAAUCUUUGUCCUGCAUUCGUUACACAACGGGGAUGCUAUGGCCUGCAGCUAAUCUGGGAAAGAAUGCAGACAGAUGUAUUAUUGGCUGAGGAGAAUUUACUUGCUGUCAUGAUAUACUCUAAGAACAGAGGUUGUUCUUAGUUUACUUAGUCAUGGCAGCCUUUAAGCACAUAGUCAAAACGAGUCAACCGUCGUUAAGGGUUGACCAGGCAUGAGUGGUGAAUCGACAAAUUGUGAUGAUGGACGGUUAAAGAAACCCUUUUUGUUAUAGAAAAAAAUUAUGGUUUUACAAGAAGAGAGCUCGGCCAAAUACCUCUUAGAGUAGAUGGUGUUAUUUAACAACGGUCCCGUCAGGGAGGUUGAAACACAUAUAAAGUAAGCUUAAGACUUACCUCUUUGACUAUGCUUAUUGUUAGGACUUGUUGACGUUAUAGUUUAAGGCUGGUUCAGGUUUAUAGUAAGGGCUGGUUCAGGUUCAUAGUGAAGGACUGGUUCAGGUUCAUAGAAAGGACUGGUUCAGGUUUAUAGUAACGACUGGUUCAGGUUCAUAGUAAGGGCUGGUUCAGGUUUAUAGUAACGACUGGUUCAGGUUCAUAGUAAGGACUGGUUCAGGUUUAUAGUAACGACUGGUUCAGGUUCAUAGUAAGGGCUGGUUCAGGUUCAUAGUAAGGACUGGUUCAGGUUCAUAGUAAGGGCUGGUUCAGGUUCAUAGUAAGGGCUGGUUCAGGUUCAUAGUAAGAACUGGCUAAGGUUUAUAGUAAGGGCUGGUUCCGGUCUAAAUCUGUGUUUGAUUACUGGUCUUUGACGAUGAGGGCGAGAUUGUGAUUGUCUCAUUGAACAUAUACUUUAAGGCUUUGAGAUGUGAGAUGAAUGAGAUUUCGGUACAUCUUUGCAUUAUAAAUCCUGAUAAUCGGGAGAAUAUAUAACCCGUCACAUGAACUAAAAUGGACCAGACUCCAUUCAGCUCCUCUCAGACUCAAUAGAGCAGCCACCACCUUUAUCUUUUCAUCCUGAGGUGACUCAAUUCUUUCUGUCAACUCAAAAGCCGACCUCUUGACCCCGAAGUGACCCCUGCCACCCCUCACCAGGCAUGCUGAAAGGACCACAGGAAGAAAGAACCGCCGCCUCACAGCCUGCAGGGAGCCCCUGACCUCUAACCCCAAACACCCCUCCUCUCUGUUUUUUUUUUUUUUUUUUCACACUCUGAGGUGAUGUUUUUUCCACGCCAUUUGUCCCGGUGCUCUCAUGCACACUCCUGUGUUAUCUUUGGGCCAGCACAAGACCUGUGGCCUCAACAGUUCCAUCAGGGUGCAACCUGAUUUAUUCUUAUAUCAAUAAAACCAUCCAAUGUGAAUGUUCUUGCCACAAAUUAACUGAAAUGGAAAUUCUUUACAAUGACUACAUGCAUAAGUGAGCUUUGGUUAGGUUGGCCACAUAAUACACAGAGUUUACAGUAAAAUGAUGCAACACUUGACCCCGGGGUCAGGCGUUGUCAAAUAAAUGCUCAAUUGCUCUAACACUUGAAACAAGCCAGGUCAAGAUGUCUUUGAAUUUCUUUUCUUUUUUGCCAAUAAACGUGUUUCAACAUCAUUAGACCCUUGCUGAUACCUGACACAGCUGCUGUGUUGGCCGUUAAGAAUUCACCCAUUCACCCAAGAUAUGCUCGGUCUGAAUGGUGCCAUUACAAACAUAAAUAUUAUUUGAAAUCUUAAUAGUACUGAUAGUAGAAUAAUAGUAAUAAUAAUAGUAAUCUUCAAAGAAAUGAAAGUAGCUUAAACCUGAGCUUUGGACUUUUGAAAAAAAUGUCUUGUAGAAUAUUCAAAAUGAUUGGUUGUUUAUUCCAUUUACAUCUGCAAGUUUUUGCUUUGAUUUGGUCUGGUGUUGUCGAUCUGUAGUCUGGAUUUGGUUUGGAUUCUGGAUUUGGUUAAAUAAAUAAUCAGUGUUUACUUUGAUCGUCGGCUGCUGAUUUAUCGACGUCUUGACCAUCAACUUCUAAUAACAAGUGAGAGUGCCAAGUGAGAGUGGAAAUGACCGUUCUGCGUAAUGGCCAAACAUCUCCAUGUCUUUUCAUUCACUAGUACCCCCUGUACUCGCUGAUACCCCCAAACACGCCCCCACCUUUUCCUUCAAUCUAGGUCAGCUUCUCCCUCAUUACAAUUCAACUUUCUCUCACAUUGAAAAUGCAAAACCAAAUCGCAGAAAGCUGAAGGAGCCUCGGGAGGAGGUGGAAGGAAUGGAAAGAAAAAACCCCGGGGAUUACUGCCCCGCAUUGUCCCGCCGCUAAUCCCUCCUCCUCAUCACACACACACACACACACACACACACACACACACACACACACACACACACACACAGAAGGAAAAAAAACAUUUGACACCUUUCAGAAGCUCAGCUCGACACUUCCAGUCACUCCCACACACUCAGGGUUACUCAAAGUCACACAAACAUUCACACGCACACACAGAUCCACAGCGUUUCCUCGCUCUGUCCGCUUGUGCUUCUCAGACAGCAUGAAAUCCUCCCCACAUCGGUGGUGGGCCCCCCCCCCCCCGCCUCUCUUCCCUCCUCGCUUUCAUCCAUUCUCCAUGGCUCCGCCUCCCUUCGGGGGCGCCAUAGGGCUUUUGUGCAGAUCGAUGGCCCGUGGCUAGCCUGGAAGAAGGGGUUAUACAGAGUGCACCAUACUCACUGAUGCAGGAGUUUAGGGGCUUUUAUGAAGAGGGGGGUAUUUAAAUCUCUCAUCCAGGACUUUUCAUCUUCUGUGUGGCUUCCUGUUUGACUAACCAGCCAAUAGCCCUCGAGUCACUCCAGAUUUAAAACACACAUAAUCCAAGUCGGAGAUGAGAGACAGAUCUAUUGAAGUAAAAGGUUGAAAAGAUUCAAAAUGUUACUUUAGUAGAAGUUUUAAACUAAAAAGGUAAGGGUUGUUGUUCUUUUCUUUUUUGUCAUUUAAAUAAAUGCAGUAAAAAUGAACUGAUUUAACAAACACAGUGCAUGUGUAUUCAUGGCUUAAUAUCUUCUUCCUUGGUGCAUAAAUGAGCCCAACUGUCGCCAUUUUUGUUGGCUCACAUCAACGUUAAAUGACUUAACUUCAACAUUGUUGCUUUGCUCCUCUCCUCAGGUGAGGUGCGAGCUUGGUGACCUUUUGACUCGCACCCUUUCCCCUGCUUCUCAUUUUGAAACCAUUUGUUCUCGGUUCCUUUUUUCCUUUUCACUGCCCUCUUCCCCCCCACGUUCCACUCUCUGGGGCAGUUAAAAUGCAGCUGCCGCCAUCAGAUCUCCAUUAUCCAGCCCCGGGGGCAACGAAGGAGAGGAAUUGGGAUGAGAAUUGAGUGUUCGGGAUGAUAUUUUAGCAUUUCUGGGAAGCUGUGGGUGUAGAUCGCUCAAACAGGUGUUACGUUUGUAAAGUUACUCUGAUCUUCUGUGGAUCUUCCUCCUCCAUGAUGCCUAACCCCCAGCCAACGUUCUCCAUUCCCAGAACUCUUAGUGAUUUGAACAGGAGACCUGUACUAUGCAGUUGAUUCAUUUAGUGACUAAGAGACGACCCUCUCCGGUACUUUAACGUUCACAUCCUGUGAAGAAAAGAAAAAUGGUGCUUGAUCAUUUGAUGGUGGAGUACCACUUUAAAGAGAAAAAGCACACCGCAUGACACCAAACAGAGAUUCACCCGACAGUCGUUAUGAAAACAAAAAGACGAAUAACGCGGACGAUAUUCCCUCGCCAAUCGUUUCAUAACCUCGACCAGCUGAACUCUGCCGGGCCGCCACGCAUCCGGCUCGAAUGCCGGCCUCUCCGUCUCACUCCUCGGGAUCAAUUUGGCCGAGUUGAAAUAGGGGUCGAGGCAAUUUAACACUCGUCCUGCAUUUUAAACCAGGGGAGGAAGUCUCAGGGCCGGCCAGGUGGCGGUCAAUUCAGUCAGGGCCGUCUGCAUUCCUGUGUGUGCUUGUAUUUUCUGAGCUGGGAGGGUUGACAGGAGACACUUUAUGUGCACGUUUCUGCAACCAGCAAACGUUGAAGGUCAAAGUUUCUAAACCAAAAAUAUGCUCCAUAAAACCGUUUUCAUUAACGUACUUCUAGUGUGCACCUUCCUGUGUGAGUCCAACAUUUGCGUGUGUAUAAUGUGUAUUUUUCCUCCCACGGUGUCACUAGAUGAUGCGUUUCAUUGAGAGAACUGCAGGUGAGGAGGUCCCUCUCCGCAAGAAGUCCACUGGGUCCAUGUGGGUAAUGUUGCAGACACACAAUGUUCAGGAUUUUAUCUCACGUGAACAUCAUAUGUUUGUUCAAUACUUUUGUUUUAAAAAUAGUAGAUAGAGCAGCUUUAAAAUAACCGCGUAUGAGUCUGCCUCGAGGGAACAGGCGGCUGGAGGGUGUGGAGGGGAGAUGGGCGGAGAAACCCAUGGCCCCCUCUUCCCCGUUCGCCUCGAGAGAAUUAACACCUGCACUUAGUGCACACUUGUCUUUUCUGGAUCCAGCCCUGACAAAUGCCCCCUUUUCAUUGUGUCAAACACAGGACUUUCACCCAGGUGAAUGCUGUUAGCAUCCCGUAACCAACGCGUCGACAUUCCACAAACUGAACUACCGUCACGCGGUACGCAAGAUUUGCAGGUAUUAACAUUGAAACUGGGGGGUCACAUGACUCUCCAUUAAUCCUCUAAGCCAGGGGUCUCAAACUGCGGGAGUCCGGCGUCCGGUGCGGCCCGCACCAACCGUAAUGGUCUGGCCCGCGUUCGGUCGAAGCGCGAAGUGAGUUUGAGACCUCUGCUCUAAGCCUAAACUCUCAGUGCAGUCUGAGCCGUCCUUUGGCUCAGUGCAUUGGGUCAUUGACACGUUUCUUUGAGAACUCGUCUCUUUCCGUCAGCACAAUAUAGCAUCACUUUGCUAAAUCCGCUCGAGUCCCUCUUUCCUUGGUGGUUUCACACGUCAUGGAUUCCGGGGGGGAAGAGGCGAGCCGUCGGCACAAAGAGGAUAUUGAUUUCACCACGCUUCCCCUUCUUACCUUUCACCUGAAUGUCACUCCGACAGAUUGCGACUGUUUCUUUGCAAAGAGAAGCGCUGGGUCGGAGGUUUUGGCGUCUUAGGAUGACGUCGACUCAGCUCAGGAAUUCCUUUAAAAAGGUGCGCUGUGGAAACAAAAAGCCUGUGUGUAGGUUCUGACAAAUGUGGUCGAAAUGUGGAAGCUGCAGAGACGGGCUCCGCGAGCAGAUGGGCAGUUUUUUGUACAGUGAAUUCCAUGUACAGGAAACAGAUUAAUGACUUUACCACUUUGUAGACACGACCCAAAGGAAAGAAACUCAAAGUGCUCAGAAUUAAAACUCUUUGCUUUUUCUUUAUGUGUGAAGAUUUGUUUUAUUAUUCUAUGAGCCCACAUAAUAGACUGUAUGUGUAUGCAUCGUCACAUACAAGACAGAUGUGAAUAUGUACUUUUGUUUAGUUAGAUGUUGAGUUAUUGCCUCCAACCAGAGACUAGAAGAGGUGGAUGUCACCUGUUGGCUCGUGGAAUGUUUUUUUAAAGACUCAAAGGUCUUUAAAAGGUCCAUGAAUUAAUCGUUUUGUUUUUCUUUUUGGAACCAGAAAGGGCAUGAGGAAUAAACAUUGUGUAUUUUCAAGGAUCAGAGUCUGUUUCUCAUUUAUUAAAAAAAGGUCUUGUAGAGGACAUCGUUGAAGCCCGGUUGACCUCAUGUGCAGCUCCACAAGCUGAUGCUGAAAAAAAACGAGCUCCUCGCCAUCCAUUCACCUCCUCCCUCCCACUCACAGCCAGCGAGGCUUCUUUCAGACCAAGGACGCCCAGCUCGCCCCCAUCCUGCCGGUUGAAUAUGAUGUGUAUUUACUUAUCCAGCCGCCGUUGGCCUGACAACUAAGCCUAAGGUGUGAUUCAACGAGGACGCACAGUAUGUUCUAUAUUUACAUACUUUUUCUGAGAAUAAGGAUAUAAUUGCUCUUGAUAGCACAGCGAGAUAAAUGAGGAGGGAGAAGAUGUUGCAGCGGUUCCAGAACAGGUUUGAAUUUUCACAGAACUCCAGUUAUUGGGACUGACACUUUCCAUCAGAGCUUCAUAUGAAAUAACAAACUUCCUUUAUUUUAUUGAAUGCCAUGGUCAUCUUCAAAGAAUCUCUGAUAACAUAUUUGGAGGACAUGGUUACUAAGGCAAUGAAAAGACUUAAUAUGCAGCCUUGCAUUCUGUUUGAUCUAAUUUCUUCCUUUAUCUGUUUUGGAUACCAGUGAAGUGGAGGGAGACACAUCAGACGAACGGGGUCAAAAUGUAAUUUAUACGUGUAGAGUGCAGCUCUUAAGUCUCCAACGCACACCUGUCACCUGUAGCCCCCAUCAGCUACUUCCUAAAGAAGACAAACUAAAGCUGCAUCAAUGUUUCAUGAUGAAUUACAGUAUUUACCUCAUGCAAAUGUCAAAGUCUUCAUACCUGGCCGUCAACAACAACAACUCAAGUUGUGACAGCCAGAAAUGGCCAGUGCAGUUAGCAUCACAUGCGAGGUGCAUUUUGGGUCUAUUUUGGUGGAUGUCAACCAUCCUGUGAAGUUUUCUGUUUGUCAUCCAACAGUCGGUGAAGUGUGCUGGGGAUGAUGAAGUGCCAUUUCCUCCCACUGUCUCCCUUAUUAGCUCUCUCUCCCCUCUCAGUUGUGUCAGCAGCAUUACUCAUACCUGGGCCGGGUGCACACCGGGCUGCCAGGCCUGGAUCCGCCUUAAUCACCCACUUCCACUUCCUGUUCCUCGACCUGCCAACAGCUCGCCGUGGGCGGACGCUGAUGACGGGAAACGGCACAGCCGCACCAGCGAGAGAGGCGGAAGGAGGCGCUCUGGGCGACUGGGAUGUUAUUAUAGUUUCACUGAUGGGGGGGGGGUCGACCGGGUGGAGAAGCGCGGGCGACCGAG